UACGAAGGGGGCUAGCGUUGCUCGGAAUCACUGGGCGUAAAGGGUGCGUAGGCGGGUCUUUAAGUCAGGGGUGAAAUCCUGGAGCUCAACUCCAGAACUGCCUUUGAUACUGAGGAUCUUGAGUUCGGGAGAGGUGAGUGGAACUGCGAGUGUAGAGGUGAAAUUCGUAGAUAUUCGCAAGAACACCAGUGGCGAAGGCGGCUCACUGGCCCGAUACUGACGCUGAGGCACGAAAGCGUGGGGGAGCAACAGGGA
rnacentral:rRNA from 1 species